AUUUAAAUAAUUUGGCAGAAAAAUGCAUUAGAUUUAGAAUCUAAAUAUCUAAUUAAUA
rnacentral:tRNA from 1 species